AAGUCGUAACAAGGUUUCCGUAGGUGAACCUGCGGAAGGAUCAUUACCGAGUUUUCGGGCUUCGGCUCGACUCUCCCACCCUUUGUGAACGUACCUCUGUUGCUUUGGCGGCUCCGGCCGCCAAAGGACCUCCAAACUCCAGUCAGUAAACGCAGACGUCUGAUAAACAAGUUAAUAAACUAGAACUUUCAACAACGGAUCUCUUGGUUCUGGCAUCGAUGAAGAACGCAGCGAAAUGCGAUAAGUAAUGUGAAUUGCAGAAUUCAGUGAAUCAUCGAAUCUUUGAACGCACAUUGCGCCCCUUGGUAUUCCGGGGGGCAUGCCUGUUCGAGCGUCAUUACAACCCUCAAGCUCUGCUUGGAAUUGGGCACCGUCCUCACUGCGGACGCGCCUCAAAGACCUCGGCGGUGGCUGUUCAGCCCUCAAGCGUAGUAGAAUACACCUCGCUUUGGAGUGGUUGGCGUCGCCCGCCGGACGAACCUUCUGAACUUUUCUCAAGGCUGACCUCGGAUCAGGUAGGGAUACCCGCUGAACUUAA
rnacentral:rRNA from 1 species